rnacentral:rRNA from 1 species
AGAGUUUGAUCCUGGCUCAGGAUGAACGCCGGCGGUGUGCCUAAUACAUGCAAGUCGUACGCACUGGCCCAACUGAUUGAUGGUGCUUGCACCUGAUUGACGAUGGAUCACCAGUGAGUGGCGGACGGGUGAGUAACACGUAGGUAACCUGCCCCGGAGCGGGGGAUAACAUUUGGAAACAGAUGCUAAUACCGCAUAACAACAAAAGCCACAUGGCUUUUGUUUGAAAGAUGGCUUUGGCUAUCACUCUGGGAUGGACCUGCGGUGCAUUAGCUAGUUGGUAAGGUAACGGCUUACCAAGGCGAUGAUGCAUAGCCGAGUUGAGAGACUGAUCGGCCACAAUGGAACUGAGACACGGUCCAUACUCCUACGGGAGGCAGCAGUAGGGAAUCUUCCACAAUGGGCGCAAGCCUGAUGGAGCAACACCGCGUGAGUGAAGAAGGGUUUCGGCUCGUAAAGCUCUGUUGUUGGAGAAGAACGUGCGUGAGAGUAACUGUUCACGCAGUGACGGUAUCCAACCAGAAAGUCACGGCUAACUACGUGCCAGCAGCCGCGGUAAUACGUAGGUGGCAAGCGUUAUCCGGAUUUAUUGGGCGUAAAGCGAGCGCAGGCGGUUGCUUAGGUCUGAUGUGAAAGCCUUCGGCUUAACCGAAGAAGUGCAUCGGAAACCGGGCGACUUGAGUGCAGAAGAGGACAGUGGAACUCCAUGUGUAGCGGUGGAAUGCGUAGAUAUAUGGAAGAACACCAGUGGCGAAGGCGGCUGUCUGGUCUGCAACUGACGCUGAGGCUCGAAAGCAUGGGUAGCGAACAGGAUUAGAUACCCUGGUAGUCCAUGCCGUAAACGAUGAGUGCUAGGUGUUGGAGGGUUUCCGCCCUUCAGUGCCGGAGCUAACGCAUUAAGCACUCCGCCUGGGGAGUACGACCGCAAGGUUGAAACUCAAAGGAAUUGACGGGGGCCCGCAC